rnacentral:rRNA from 1 species
GAUGAACGCUGGCGGCGUGCUUAACACAUGCAAGUCGAACGGAAAGGCCCUGCUUUUGUGGGGUGCUCGAGUGGCGAACGGGUGAGUAACACGUGAGUAACCUGCCCUUGACUUUGGGAUAACUUCAGGAAACUGGGGCUAAUACCGGAUAGGAGCUCCUGCUGCAUGGUGGGGGUUGGAAAGUUUCGGCGGUUGGGGAUGGACUCGCGGCUUAUCAGCUUGUUGGUGGGGUAGUGGCUUACCAAGGCUUUGACGGGUAGCCGGCCUGAGAGGGUGACCGGCCACAUUGGGACUGAGAUACGGCCCAGACUCCUACGGGAGGCAGCAGUGGGGAAUAUUGCACAAUGGGUGGAAGCCUGAUGCAGCAACGCCGUGUGCGGGAGGACGGCCUUCGGGUUGUAAACCGCUUUCGCUCAUGACGAAGCUUUGUGUGACGGUAGUGGGUAAAGAAGCACCGGCUAACUACGUG